CGCCUCUUGAAUUAAUAUAAGAGGUCCAGCCUGCCCAGUGACCCUGUUCAACGGCCGCGGUAUCCUAACCGUGCGAAGGUAGCGUAAUCACUUGUUCUUUAAAUGAGGACUUGUAUGAACGGCAUCACGAAGGUUAUACUGUCUCCUUUUUCUAAUCAGUGAACCUAAUCUCCCCGUGAAGAAGCGGGGAUGUAAUUAUAAGACGAGAAGACCCUAUGGAGCUUAAAACAACACAGCACUUGCUAAAAAACUAAACAAUUUCAGAAUUCUCAUUUUCUAAGCAACAUGACUGUAAGUUUUUGGUUGGGGUGACCACGGAGUAUAAUAUAACCUCCAUGUUGGAAGAAUUUUAUUCUAAGCCAAAAAUUACAUUUUUAAGCAUCAAUAAAUUGACAUCUAUUGACCCAAUAUAUUUGAACAACGAACCAAGUUACCCUAGGGAUAACAGCGCAAUCCACUUCAAGAGCUCCUAUCGACAAGUGGGUUUACGACCUCGAUGUUGGAUCAGGGUAUCCCAGUGGUGCAGCCGCUACUAAAGGUUCGUUUGUUCAACGAUUAAAACCCU
rnacentral:rRNA from 1 species